rnacentral:rRNA from 1 species
GACGAACGCUGGCGGCGUGCCUAACACAUGCAAGUCGAGCGAGUGAAUCUCCUUCGGGAGUGAAGCUAGCGGCGGACGGGUGAGUAACACGUGGGCAACCUGCCUCAUAGAGGGGAAUAGCCUUUCGAAAGGAAGAUUAAUACCGCAUAAGAUUGUAGCUUCGCAUGAAGUAGCAAUUAAAGGAGCAAUCCGCUAUGAGAUGGGCCCGCGGCGCAUUAGCUAGUUGGUGAGGUAACGGCUCACCAAGGCGACGAUGCGUAGCCGACCUGAGAGGGUGAUCGGCCACAUUGGGACUGAGACACGGCCCAGACUCCUACGGGAGGCAGCAGUGGGGAAUAUUGCACAAUGGGGGAAACCCUGAUGCAGCAACGCCGCGUGAGUGAUGACGGCCUUCGGGUUGUAAAGCUCUGUCUUCAGGGACGAUAAUGACGGUACCUGAGGAGGAAGCCACGGCUAACUACGUGCCAGCCGCCGCGGUAA